rnacentral:rRNA from 1 species
GAUGAACGCUGGCGGCGUGCCUAAUACAUGCAAGUCGAGCGAACGGACGAGAAGCUUGCUUCUCUGAUGUUAGCGGCGGACGGGAGAGUAACACGUGGAUAACCUACCUAUAAGACUGGGAUAACUUCGGGAAACCGGAGCUAAUACCGGAUAAUAUUUUGAACCGCAUGGUUCAAAAGUGAAAGACGGUCUUUCUGUCACUUCUAGAUGGAUCCGCGCUGCAUUAGCUAGUUGGUAAGGUAACGGCUUACCAAGGCUACGAUGCAUAGCCGACCUGAUAGAGUGAUCGGCCACACUGGAGCGUAGACACCGUCCAGACGCCUGCGGGAGGCAGCAGUAGGGAAUCUUCCGCAAUGGUCGGAAGCCUUACGGAGCAGCGCCGCGUGUGUGAUGAAGGUCUUCGGAUCGUAAAACUCUGUUAUUGGGUGAGAACAUAUUUGUAAGUAGCUGUGCACAGCUUGACGGUACCUAAUCAGAAAGCCACGGCUAACUACGUG